UCACCCGAUCAAAGGUCAAGAUCACAGGGGCCUGAACAUGGAAAACAGUUUCCAAUUCAUAACUUAAGAACCACUUAGCCAAGAAUGUUGAAACUUUGUGGAAUGAUUGGUUAUGCCAAAUAGAUGAUUCCUAUUGCAGCCAGCCAUCAGUGACGCUUAGACUUUUGACUUCCUGCCUAUAUGACUAUGCAUUGGGGGAGAAGACAUGCGCUUUUCUACAAAAGCAUCUUCUAGUCAUACUCAACAUUUUCUUACUUUCAGCCCAAAGAACUAAAGAAGUGGAAAGAAGAGCGCAAAGCAGCAAAGCGAAAAUGGAAAGAGGAAAAGUUAUUGAAACAGUUGGCAAAGAAACGGCAGAUUGAGAAGAAAGAAGAAGAAGCCAUGAAAGUGAAAGAAGAAGAAGAGGAAGUGCAAGAAAGAUUAGGUCGUCCAUACACAUUGUCCAUAGCUUUACCUGGCUCUAUUCUAGAUAAUGCUCAAUCACCAGAGCUGAGGACUUACCUUGCUGGGCAGGUAGGUAAACUUAGUUAUUAUAU